GACAGAGGGUGCAAACGUUGUUCGGAAUUACUGGGCGUAAAGCGCGUGUAGGCGGCCCGGAAAGUCGGAUGUGAAAGCCCUGGGCUUAACCUAGGAAGUGCAUUCGAAACUGCCGGGCUUGAGUUCUGGAGAGGAAGGCGGAAUUCUCGGUGUAGAGGUGAAAUUCGUAGAUAUCGAGAGGAACACCGGUGGCGAAGGCGGCCUCUGGACAGUGACUGACGCUGAGACGCGAAAGCGUGGGGAGCAAACAGG
rnacentral:rRNA from 1 species